rnacentral:rRNA from 1 species
UACGUAGGGUGCAAGCGUUGUCCGGAAUUAUUGGGCGUAAAGAGCUUGUAGGCGGUUUGUCGCGUCUGCUGUGAAAUUUCGGGGCUCAACCUCGAACUUGCAGUGGGUACGGGCAGACUAGAGUGUGGUAGGGGAGACUGGAAUUCCUGGUGUAGCGGUGAAAUGCGCAGAUAUCAGGAGGAACACCGAUGGCGAAGGCAGGUCUCUGGGCCAUAACUGACGCUGAGACGCGAAAGCGUGGGGAGCAAACAGG